UGAGGAAUUUUGCGCAAUAGUGGGAAACCCUGACGCAGCAACGCCGCGUGAGUGAAGAAGGCCCUUGGGUCGUAAAGCUCUGUCAAGUGGGAAAAAAGCUUACUGGUAAAUAGCCAGCAAGACUGAUGGUACCAUUGAAGGAAGCACCGGCUAACUCCGUGCCAGCAGCCGCGGUAAUACGGAGGGUGCAAGCGUUGUUCGGAAUUACUGGGCGUAAAGGGCGUGUAGGCGGUGUGGUAAGUCAGAUGUGAAAGCCCUGGGCUUAACCCAGGAAGUGCAUUUGAAACUGCCAUGCUUGAGUAUGGGAGAGGAGAGUGGAAUUCCCAGUGUAGAGGUGAAAUUCGUAGAUAUUGGGAGGAACACCCGUGGCGAAGGCGACUCUCUGGACCAAUACUGACGCUGAGGCGCGAAAGCGUGGGGAGCAAACAGGAUUAGAUACCCUGGUAGUCCACGCUGUAAACGAUGAGCACUAGGUGUAGCGGGUAUUGACCCCUGCUGUGCCGUAGCUAACGCAUUAAGUGCUCCGCCUGGGGAGUACGGCCGCAAGGCUA
rnacentral:rRNA from 1 species